GCCAUAUCACAUUAAUACACCAGUUCUCAUAUGAUCACCAAAAUUAAACGACAUCAAGCCUAGUCAGUACCUAGAUCAGUGACUGCUUGGGAAUACCAGGUGCCGUAAG